rnacentral:tRNA from 1 species
GAGGAAUGGCCGAGUGGUCGAUGGCGGCGGUCUUGAAAACCGCAGACGGCGAGAGUCGUCCGGGGGUUCGAAUCCCUCUUCCUCC